AACGAACGCUGGCGGCAUGCCUAACACAUGCAAGUCGAACGAGACCUUCGGGUCUAGUGGCGCACGGGUGCGUAACGCGUGGGAACCUGCCCUUAGGUUCGGAAUAACUCCCCGAAAGGGGUGCUAAUACCGGAUAAUGUCUUCGGACCAAAGAUUUAUCGCCUUUGGAUGGGCCCGCGUUGGAUUAGCUAGUUGGUAGGGUAAAAGCCUACCAAGGCGACGAUACAUAGCUGGUCUGAGAGGAUGAUCAGCCACACUGGGACUGAGACACGGCCCAGACUCCUACGGGAGGCAGCAGUGGGGAAUAUUGGACAAUGGGAGAAAGCCUGAUCCAGCAAUGCCGCGUGAGUGAUGAAGGCCUUAGGGUUGUAAAGCUCUUUUACCCGGGAUGAUAAUGACAGUACCGGGAGAAUAAGCUCCGGCUAACUCCGUG
rnacentral:rRNA from 1 species